GUGGGGAAUUUUGGACAAUGGGCGCAAGCCUGAUCCAGCAAUGCCGCGUGCAGGAAGAAGGCCUUCGGGUUGUAAACUGCUUUUGUACGGAACGAAACGGUUCUGGUUAAUACCCGGGGCUAAUGACGGUACCGUAAGAAUAAGCACCGGCUAACUACGUGCCAGCAGCCGCGGUAAUACGUAGGGUGCAAGCGUUAAUCGGAAUUACUGGGCGUAAAGCGUGCGCAGGCGGUUGUGUAAGACAGGCGUGAAAUCCCCGGGCUCAACCUGGGAAUUGCGCUUGUGACUGCACGGCUGGAGUGCGGCAGAGGGGGAUGGAAUUCCGCGUGUAGCAGUGAAAUGCGUAGAUAUGCGGAGGAACACCGAUGGCGAAGGCAAUCCCCUGGGCCUGCACUGACGCUCAUGCACGAAAGCGUGGGGAGCAAACAGGAUUAGAAACCCCGGUAGUCC
rnacentral:rRNA from 1 species